rnacentral:rRNA from 1 species
CAGUAGCCGCGGGAAAACGAAGGGGGCUAGCGUUGCUCGGAAUUACUGGGCGUAAAGGGAGCGUAGGCGGACAUUUAAGUCAGGGGUGAAAUCCCAGAGCUCAACUCUGGGACUGCCUUUGAUACUGGGUGUCUUGAGUGUGAUAGAGGUAUGUGGAACUCCGAGUGUAGAGGUGAAAUUCGUAGAUAUUCGGAAGAACACCAGUGGCGAAGGCGACAUACUGGAUCAUUACUGACGCUGAGGCUCGAAAGCGUGGGGAGCAAACAGGAUUAGAUACCCCGGUAGUCCCUGUCUCUUAUAC